GCAGCCGCGGUAAUACAGAGGCCAAGAGCGUUGUUCGGAUUUACUGGGCGUAAAGGGCGCGUAGGCGGUCUUGCGUGUCAAGUGUGAAAUCUCCGGGCUCAACCCGGAAAGUGCGCUUGAAACUACAGGACUUGAGUCUGGGAGAGGGAAUCGGAAUAUAGGGUGUAGCGGUGAAAUGCGUUGAUAUCCUAUAGAACACCGGAGGCGAAGGCGGAUUCCUUGAACAGUACUGACGCUGAGGCGCGAAAGUCGGGGGAGCAAACAGGAUUAGAUACCCC
rnacentral:rRNA from 1 species